rnacentral:lncRNA from 1 species
AGUAAUUUACUUUUGCUAUGGUAUUUUCUAAUAUUGUGAAACUGUCCCCAGCAUACUAAGGGUAGACUCAGGUACUGUGUUGGUGGGCAUGUUGAUUCUUUGGUCUUCCUGGCACUAUAAAAUAACCAACUGUGCCCUUCAUUAGGAAGGACAUCGUCACCUUCAUAUACAAUAGGAAAGCCUUACCAGUCUCCUACAUGGAUCACAAAAGGAAUGAAGAGUCUUGUGGCCCUCUGGACUUCAUAUUCAAAGUAGAGUUCUGCUGCAUCAGGUCUGAGUCUGCCCACUGGCAUUCUUAUCAACCUGCAUGUUUCCUUCUACCUCUUCCAGGAAGCCUGACAGCUGGACAGAUUGGGGAAGGACCUCACCAGACUCAUGAGUCUACAUUUCAAAUGAAAAGAGGAUAUAGUAAUGUUCAGUUUAAUAAAAUAGACCAACAACGACAUUUCCUGCAAAUCAGGGUCAGGAAACAGUACAUCUAUAUUAUGGUUUUCUGCCUAAUCUGUCUUUAUUUUAGUCUUUGUCCCACUUCCCUAGAAAUGAAUGAAGGUCAUUGUCACCAGAAUUUCCUCAUACGGAGACUGGAGACUUAGAGCUAAAGUGGGAUUGGCUGAAAUUUAAAUCUUCCUGAUGAGGUUUGAGGAGACACAACAGAGACUUGAAGAUCAAUUGGGGCAGAGGGACCCUGCUGGGGUUGGAGAUUGUGAGUAUGUAGUUUAUGAGGUUGGGCUCCAAGUUCCUAGAGGAGUGAACAGAAAUUAAAUCAUUCGCUAGAACAACACAGAGAUUUACUGUGGAUUUGGAUAUGCUUUGCUGCCCCUCUAUUGCUCUAAGAAUAGUUACAAAGCAGUAAUGGGAUUGCUCAGCUGGAAAGAUCAUAAGGGAAAAGUUGUUUUCUCUGAGGGGUUUCUUCUGGUUACCUGCAGUCAGGAGUAGCAGAGGGAUGUCCUUAAAGAAAGACACAUCUCUUGACUACAUCUCAUUUCUUUUAGAUGUGAACAUUAUCCAUCAGGGAGUAAUGUCAAGUGACAAUUCCUCUGGUGGUCACUGAAGAGUCCCUAAUGCAAGUCUUGGGCCCCUUUCACACUUCAGCUUUUAAAAAGUAUUUUCCUUCCAAAGCUGUUUCUUUGGAAAUAAAGAGCUAUGAGUCAUCUUUCUUUAGAACUGGGAGAGAAGAUUCACUUCUGCUAUAAUUAAGCAAUAAUUAUUAUUCUUUCCUCUGAGAGAGAACUCAGGGAGAUAAACAACUCCCAGAUAAAUAAGGCUUAGAGACUGUGGGCCAAGGCUUCUAUUGAUUCACAAAAUAUUUAUCUCUUUCUUCCUUCCAAAUUAAAAAAAAAAUGAUAGUAAUUAUUUUUAAAAAUGAUUCUUUUAUUUUCAGUCAUUUAAAAUUGUUAUUUUUCUACCCUAUGCAAAUAAUAAUUGCUUUUAUGGUCCUCGGGCAACUGUGGGGAGGAGGGACAUGUAGUGAGAGACUCAAGGAUCCUACUCACUCUUCUGGCAGCAUCUCUGAAGCAUACAGAAGUAUAAGUGGAUCUUGAACUUGAUAUACAGUAGGGGAAGGAAGGCUCGAUUAGGAUAUAAAAAGAUGGCAAGUUAUGUACCUUCCCAAAUUCCUCAAAUUGGGUGUUCUUCAUUCCUAAUCUAAUGUAUCUUUUCCACAUACUUGGAGGAGGGGAAAGGUUGACAAAAGAACAGAAGAGAGAAAGAGAAGAUGAAAAAGGAGAGAAUGAGGGAGAAGAGGAAGGAGAAGAAAAACUGAAAUGCAAACACAGAACCUUCUUUUAGUUGUCAGUGAGGGGAAAACUGGCAACACCUACAUAAUAAUGUAUUGUUGGUUUUAUUAAAUGAAUACCUGAUUGAAUUAAAACAAAUUUUUGAUAAAAUCUUUUGAUUUUAUACCUCAGCAGCAACUGCCAUCUUCCAAAUCACUUGAAAAAUAAAUCAUUCACUGCUUUUUGAC